GAUCUUCAUUAGCUUGCUUUUGAAGAUCAGCGGCGGACGGGUGAGUAACACGUGGGCAACCUGCCUGUAAGACUGGGAUAACUUCGGGAAACCGGAGCUAAUACCGGAUAAUCCUUUCCCUCACAUGAGGGAAAGCUGAAAGACGGUUUCGGCUGUCACUUACAGAUGGGCCCGCGGCGCAUUAGCUAGUUGGUGAGGUAACGGCUCACCAAGGCAACGAUGCGUAGCCGACCUGAGAGGGUGAUCGGCCACACUGGGACUGAGACACGGCCCAGACUCCUACGGGAGGCAGCAGUAGGGAAUCUUCCGCAAUGGACGAAAGUCUGACGGAGCAACGCCGCGUGAACGAUGAAGGCUUUCGGGUCGUAAAGUUCUGUUGUUAGGGAAGAACAAGUACCGGAGUAACUGCCGGUACCUUGACGGUACCUAACCAGAAAGCCACGGCUAACUACGUGCCAGCAGCCGCGGUAAUACGUAGGUGGCAAGCGUUGUCCGGAAUUAUUGGGCGUAAAGCGCGCGCAGGCGGUUCCUUAAGUCUGAUGUGAAAGCCCCCGGCUCAACCGGGGAGGGUCAUUGGAAACUGGGGAACUUGAGUGCAGAAGAGGAGAGCGGAAUUCCACGUGUAGCGGUGAAAUGCGUAGAGAUGUGGAGGAACACCAGUGGCGAAGGCGGCUCUCUGGUCUGUAACUGACGCUGAGGCGCGAAAGCGUGGGGAGCGAACAGGAUUAGAUACCCUGGUAGUCCACGCCGUAAACG
rnacentral:rRNA from 1 species